rnacentral:rRNA from 1 species
AUUGAACGCUGGCGGCAGGCCUAACACAUGCAAGUCGAGCGGAUGAGUGGAGCUUGCUCCAUGAUUCAGCGGCGGACGGGUGAGUAAUGCCUAGGAAUCUGCCUGGUAGUGGGGGACAACGUUUCGAAAGGAACGCUAAUACCGCAUACGUCCUACGGGAGCAAGUGGGGGAUCUUCGGACCUCACGCUAUCAGAUGAGCCUAGGUCGGAUUAGCUAGUUGGUGAGGUAAAGGCUCACCAAGGCGACGAUCCGUAACUGGUCUGAGAGGAUGAUCAGUCACACUGGAACUGAGACACGGUCCAGACUCCUACGGGAGGCAGCAGUGGGGAAUAUUGGACAAUGGGCGAAAGCCUGAUCCAGCCAUGCCGCGUGUGUGAAGAAGGUCUUCGGAUUGUAAAGCACUUUAAGUUGGGAGGAAGGGCAGUAAGUUAAUACCUUGCUGUUUUGACGUUACCAACAGAAUAAGCACCGGCUAACUUCGUG